rnacentral:rRNA from 1 species
AUUGAACGCUGGCGGCAUGCCUUACACAUGCAAGUCGAACGGUAACAGGUCUUCGGAUGCUGACGAGUGGCGAACGGGUGAGUAAUACAUCGGAACGUGCCCGAGAGUGGGGGAUAACGAGGCGAAAGCUUUGCUAAUACCGCAUACGAUCUCAGGAUGAAAGCAGGGGACCGCAAGGCCUUGCGCUCACGGAGCGGCCGAUGGCAGAUUAGGUAGUUGGUGGGAUAAAAGCUUACCAAGCCGACGAUCUGUAGCUGGUCUGAGAGGACGACCAGCGACACUGGGACUGAGACACGGGCCAGACUCCUACGGGAGGCAGCAGUGGGGAAUUUUGGACAAUGGGCGCAAGCCUGAUCCAGCCAUGCCGCGUGCAGGAUGAAGGCCUUCGGGUUGUAAACUGCUUUUGUACGGAACGAAAAGACUCUGGUUAAUACCUGGGGUCCAUGACGGUACCGUAAGAAUAAGCACCGGCUAACUACGUGCCAGCCGCCGCCGUAAGAC